ACAGCCACACCCUCCCCUACAGAAGUGCUCACAGCACAGCCCUCAGCAUGGACUGGAACUGGAGAACCCUCCUCCUGGUGGCCAUGGUGACAGGUGUCCACUCCCAGGUGCAGCUGGUGCAGUCUGGGGCUGAGGUGAGGAAGCCUGGGGCCUCCAUGAAGGUCUCCUGCAAGGCUUCUGGAUACACCUUCACCAGCUACUACAUGCACUGGGUGGAACAGGCCCCAGGACAGGGGCUUAAAAGGAUGGGGAUAGUUUUCCCUUUACUUGGAAUCACAAACUACACACAGAAGUUCCAAGGCAGAGUCUCCAUAACCGAAGACACGUCCACAAGCACAGCCUGCAUGGAGCUCAGCAGCCUGAGAGCCAAGGAAACUUCCCUGUAUUACUGUGAAAGAGACACAGUGAGGGGAAUCCUGGGGGUGGGCACGCCCCAGGCCUAUGACUUCUUUACUAAAAGGCUCAUCUUUGCCUUAAGCACCCUGUCCAUUGUUCCUGUGCAUCUGGGUUAG